AAAACCAAAAAACCUGUGGAUCUCAUUUCUCUUCCCACCCUUCCAUCGCUCUCUCCUUGUGACGGCCGCCUCUCGCUCGACUACGCUCUUCGCUCGGUGGGACUCCCUCACCUGCUGCCACCGCCGCUCCACUUGAUUCCCGCCGCAUUGCUCGAGGCCUUCGCCGCCUCUCCCUCUCGAAGGUAUCUUCAUUGUCGUCGUCGAUAUCAUCGACCGCUUGGUCCGCACGUGAAGUCAGACGCGAUUGUUUGAGCUUGCGGACGUUGUUCUGUGCAAUGGCGUCCUGAAUGUGCCGCGCCGUGUGGAACCUGCUCGCUGAUGUGGUGGGUGCUGGUCAAUUCCCCUCUCUUCAGUGGAAAAUGGUUCGCCCACUUUGAGAUCUCCUGAAGAUACUUUAGAUAAGCUCAUCCAGGGUUCUAAACAGCAAUCUCUUCUUCUAGAGCCAAAAAGGGAGAUGGAUACACCGUCGGAUUUGGGACAUGCUCUGGAAAGGUUGUUCCGGCACCUCAGUGAGUCCAUCAGCAGCGCCGGCGGCAGAGGGCAUUGUUGUUCUUGUUAGUACUAGAGCGAGAGUCCCUUAUGGAGUCACUGUACUGUCCAGUUGCAUCCUAUUUGUGGAACUCCAAUAAUGUACACUUUGAUUAA